GACGGAGGAUGCAAGCGUUAUCCGGAAUUAUUGGGCGUAAAGCGUCCGCAGGUGGCUUUUCAAGUCUGUUGUCAAAGCGCGGGGCUUAACUCCGUACAGGCAAUGGAAACUGGGAAGCUAGAGUAUGGUAGGGGUAGAGGGAAUUCCCGGUGUAGCGGUGAAAUGCGUAGAUAUCGGGAAGAACACCAGUGGCGAAAGCGCUCUGCUGGACCAUAACUGACACUGAGGGACGAAAGCUAGGGGAGCGAAAGGG
rnacentral:rRNA from 1 species